ACACCGAUGGUGAAGCGGUUAUCAUGCUUGCCUUCCAUGACAAAUAUGUGUGUAUUAAGCAAGCGGCAGGGGUUCGACUCCCCUUCGGUGUA